CCUACGGGGGGCUGCAGUGGGGAAUAUUGCGCAAUGGGCGAAAGCCUGACGCAGCGACGCCGCGUGAGGGAUGAAGGUCUUCGGAUCGUAAACCUCUGUCAGCAGGGAAGAACGGUCACUGUGCUAAUCAGCAGUGAAUUGACGGUACCUGCAAAGGCAGCACCGGCUAACUCCGUGCCAGCAGCCGCGGUAAUACGGAGGGUGCGAGCGUUAAUCGGAAUUACUGGGCGUAAGGCGCUCGUAGGCGGUAUGUCAAGUCAAGGGUGAAAUCCCCGCGCUAAACGUGGGAACUGCCUUUGAAACUGGCAAACUGGAGUGUGUGAGAGGAUAGUGGAAUUCCAGGUGUAGGAGUGAAAGCCGUAGAUAUCUGGAGGAACAUCAGUGGCGAAGGCGACUAUCUGGCACAUAACUGACGCUGAGGAGCGAAAGCGUGGGUAGCAAACAGGAUUAGAUACCCUUGUAGUC
rnacentral:rRNA from 1 species